GGUCAGUGAUGACUAGAGAAAGGUCUGAUUGCACCAGAAAAUUGCACACUCGUUACUUUCUCAGCUCCCAGCAAUUUUGUUUUCCUCUCUCCUCUCUAUACUCCAGCAAUGUUGUGAGGUGUUAACAAGGCUGCUGACAUUAUAUGGAUAAAGUCAGUGCAUGUCACCCACAGUGUAAGGGGCUUGGCCUUGGCUGUCAUCCAACAAAGCCAAUCAAGGAGCUGUUCAUUUUGGGGUGUGUCUUGAGGUGCAUGAUCUUUAGUUUUCAAGCUGAGACC